GCCCUCAGCGCCCCGCCGCCAUCCCCCCGCGGGCCGGGGCCGGGGCCGGGGGCGGGCCGGGCGGCCGGAGCCCGCCUCCAAGGCACUGAUGGAGGCCGAGGGAGGAGGACGAGCAGCCGCUGGUUGCCUUUACUUGGUAGAUACAGUAGUGGGAGAUCCAGAGGCUCUGCAAGCAGAUGCUGAGGCAUAUUAUGAAAAACUCUUGAAGCAGUCAUCAUCCACUCGUGAUGUUUUUUCUAUCCCUGGAAGAGAAAAGGUUAAACUUGAAGAUUCCUGUGUGUGUUUUGUCCCUCUCUACCGAAAUAAUCCUACUUGCAAAAUGUUGCUGUUAACUGAUCCACAGGAUAAAGAGACAGUUUUGGCACUUUAUUUGAACCAGUGUUGGUGGCCUCUUGAAGAUGUUGUAAAGACAGCUGAUCCUUCUAGAGAUGGAUUAAUUUCGGUCCAGACGUUUAGAGAAAGGAUUGUCCUCUUUGUUCUGAACUACAUUAUUUUUGGAAUGCUGGAAGGGAGUUCAGCUAAUGAUGCAUUCUUUCUACCUCACUCUGCCACUGAGUGUGCCAAGAUACUCUGGAGAAAUGGCGAGGCCGUUGCCUUUUACUCGGUCAAGAUGAAAGGGAGCCUAUGUGAUGGUACUACCAGUCAAUGUUACUUGCUGCCAGUUUUGGAUACUAUAUUUGUCCAGAGAAAAUACAGAAGAGGUGGCCUGGGGAUGAAAAUGCUGCACGAUUUCUGUCAGUCUUUCAAGGCUGAGGAUGCCUUGGGGAUCAGUUGCCCUAUUUCUGCUGCCAUGUAUCAAGUUUGCCAGAAAUUCUUGCAGACUUAUCCUGAGGAGCAGAAGCGACUGUGGGAGGUGGAAGCACCAGGAGAUUGGAGUCAGCGAGUGAAUAUCUGGUUAAAGAUUCAGAUGGAGUCAUCCCCUUCAGGAACUAUUCAUCUCAUUUCUCCAGGGGAUGAAGAAGUCUCUUAUGGAGAAUACUCAAACUAGUAAACAAAGACAAUCAGAUGUGGACCAGAUGAAUAAGGGCGUUGAAUGCAUUCUUGAUCCUGGGAAAGUGGCAGGAGAUGAUGCCACAGGAAAAAAAGAUGACACAGUAACAGAAAGUACUCUAAACUAGCAGGGACCUGAAUGACAGGACAUAGAACAAGGUGGAAGCAAUAGUCAGCAAUGCAAAGGAUUCAGAAAGGAUUCAGGUCCUGGGGACUUAGUUGGAGACAAAGCCACCAAACAAUUCAGAAUUAUGCCAUAAUUGCACUCUCAAAAAUCAGCAAAAUCUCAGUAUGGUCUUCAAAAGUUGUAAUUGACAAUUCAUAAUUUGUAACGCCAGAGAGAUUUCUUCAGGACUUCUUAAAUCCAGAUAAGUUACUCCUUGGGACCUGCCCGGGGCUGAUCGUUGUGCUGCUGUGCACAGGAAGACUGGAGCGUAACAUUAGUGCCAUCCAUGCCACGUUGAAGAGUGUGACCCUGUGCUGAAACCUGAUGAUGCCUCCCAGACACAGAAUCAUACAGCAUCCCCACAAGGCUUCUCAGUUGCAUAGUCUGUCUUACAGCUAGAUCCUGGCAACAGAGCUGGCAAAAGCGUGCAGAAGAAUCCCAGCAGCUCUAUUUCUGUGUUCAGUUCCUGUGAGGACAGAAGGGGAUGUCAUUACUGCUACUGUUCCUGGCAAUCUGCUCUGACUGGGAAACUGGAGCGGGCAGUAGCAUUGUUCUCACUGGAGGCUCCGUCCGUCCCUCGGCAGGAACCCUUCACUUGGCAAGAGGUUGGCUCAGGGCGCUGCCGAUCCUGUUCACACAGCGGGCAAGAUCCGUGGUGACUCCAGGCUUGCUGGGAGCAUCUGUCCCUCGGGCUGCUAGGUUUGGGGUGCGCUAUCACCACCUGGUAUAGAGAACACACUGAACUGGCUGGGUCUUCAACUAAGGUGUGAUUGCACCUUAAAGCUUGAGGAAAGAGAGCAGGAUCUGGCACCACCCCAUAUUGGAAGCUGCCUUGUCUUAUUCCUAAGUCUCUGUAUUGCUAACACAAGAUAAUCGUGCCAGAACCACAGCAGCUGUGAUUUGGUGGCUUUGGUAUAUUCAGUGGUCAAUGCUGUGGGGUCCUGCUCAGUGACCUGCUCCUGGCUGUGCAUCCUCUCAGCACCUGCCCUCAUGAUCUCCUUACGCAGCAUUUACAGCCAGGCCAACUGUGGAACAUGAAGUGCGAUUUGAUGCACUGCCCUUCAUGGCAAUAACGAGAUGUUGUUCUGUUUUCCUUGCAAAUCAGAGAUCUUUGCUGCUCUCCUGCUUCCUUCCCAAUGCAGACUUGAUAAGAAGAGACUUCUGGCAAGCUGUUGAAGCCAAUCAGUUCCUGGACUGCAGAGCAGCCCUUAGUCAGGAUAUUAAAAUGGUACCCCUGUGACUCCUCGUUGCCUCACUAGAGAUGCAUAAUAUUCUUAGCUAACAGAAGGAGGAAACAUGUCAGCUAAACAAAGGGGAUAAAUAUGGCCUUUUGAAGAGCAGCCAUGGCAGAGUGCUAUAUAGGACUAUGGAGAAUUAUCAACAGGCUUUUGCUUUAGCAAAUGUCAUGCUACCAGAAGAAUGGUGCAGUUUGCGGUGGCAUCCAGCCAGUACCCUCUCAUGAGGAAGAAUCAAUUUGCAAGGUAUUGAGUAAAGCCGCGGGCUCUGCCUUGGAGAGGUGACCACCCAUGAAAACAACUGACAUGAAAAGACCGCAAGAUGAGCUGUGGUCUUAGCAAACUGGAAGGAGAAGGGCAUGAAGUCAGAGAGUGGCUGUGGAUGUAUUUUCAAAACAGCUAUGGAGACAGGCAGCACCUAUUCAGCAGGAUGGUCCUUGCAUAUGGCUGGCGUAUGGACAUCAUGUGUCUCUUGAAUUUCCCGACCCGAGGUGUUAAACCAGUGCAGCUCAGUGCUAUGGCAUGUGGUCUUACUGGUCAGACCAGAGAGGCUGCUGCUAUUGCUGCAGCUUUCAGCAUCGUUGGCGCUGCUGUUAUGGGUUCCAGGGCUGGUCAGUCGUGCAAGACAUCUGCCUCAUCCUGGUGAAAAGUUUUCCCUUUGAUAUUAUUUUAUUGAACUCAUUUACUUUGGCUGCUCAAAAAAAAAAAAAAGAUCAGCCUUGAACACUCAAAGAAAAAUCUGCCUGCUCUGAAUAUUGCCUGAGGAUUUAGAAAAUCUUUCUUGGAAACAGAAGAAUGAGAUGAAACAAUCAUCUGUACAGCAUGAUAUAAUGAAGAAAGAUUAUCAUGGCUCUACGUGGCUGCAGCAGCUCUGGUCAGCAAAUAAUAACGACGUUGUCUCACUGGUCAGACCUGCCUCCCAGAGACCAACAACACGUUAAGUGAUGUCUUGGUGGUAUUUUGGGCCCUCAUUUAUGUGAUGGCAAUAGAAAUCUAAAAGGAAAAGGCCUUUCUUUUUUGUGACAUAAUGAAUUUCAUGCCAUUCUCUGCAAAUUCUGUUAGUCAUGACCAAAAUCAGCUUACUUCUGCACUGAUGCCUCUGAGAAGAAGCAGUGAAAGACCUUUAAAGCAAAGACUUUGGCUUCAUGUGCUACACCACCAUAAAAUGUUGGCUAUAUCUGCAUCUGCUCUUGUCCCUCUUCCGUUCUCAGAUCACCCUUUGGCUUCCCUUAGGAAUCCAGCUGUGUCAUCACAUUGUGUGGCAUCCUAAUAUUUCAUACUAAGCUGUAAGCCAAUUAGGAAUGACUACUUACCAUGCUGAAUCAUAGGAAGAGAAAAGUAUAAUGUGUCCUUCAUAUAACAAACCUCCUUUUUUUUGGCAAGACAGAUAACCCACACAUUAUAUUUAUAAGCCCUAUGGCUUUCCACGAUACCCAAUUAGGAUGCAGCUUCCUUUCCCACUGCUGCAGUAUUUCAAGGGACGUGUUUACAGAUGGAUGCUUAUUGAAAGUGCUGACCUACCACCAUUAUACCUCAUAACAUCUUUCAUCUUCAGAGACUGAAGCACUGGACAAAACUUGAUGUUGUAAUCACCUUUAACAGGAUGAGAACACGAGUGCAGCAAAAUAUGAACACCUUAUCCCGAGUCCCUAAACGAACCGCUGACCCUGGCUGAGGGUGUAAACACGAUUGUGUGCCACCCAGAACUGAGGGAAGCAUCAAAGUCAGACUGUAAAAUAAAGCCUGUUGUAUCUAAAAGGAAGAAGGAUGAACCACUGAUGUGGGUAUUUGCUUGAGGUACUGAAGAAGCAGUUGGAGAAUCAGCGUAUGGAUGUGUGAAGUGGUUAGUAAUUAGCAGCAAAGAGAAGGAUAUUAAAAUUUAUUUCCCAUGCUGAAGUAAUUAAUGGGCUAUUAUGCCAGGUGUCUAAGCUGCCCGGAGGUCUGGGAUAAAUAGCAUUACAGCAGAAGAUGCAAAAUAUGAUUUAAGGUGAAAUGGAAGGAUGUUCUAGCAGAGCACUCAGGACGCCCCCCUUCCUCCAAACACUGUUGCUGUUUCCUAAGUUGCUAAGUAGCUGCUGAUGGUAUUUAUUACCUGGGAAGAGAUGUGCUCCUUUACAUUUGUCUCAGGAUCCUAGCAGUGUUGCAAACCGAAGGCUCCUGCGACCUGUGCCUGACACCUGCGUCUUUCACGUCUCAUCUAAUCUUGUCAGGCUUCACCGCGGGGUGAGCGGGGCAGCACCCGAGUGGCAGCACCCUGUUCCCACAGAGGCCAGGUAGCCACCUACCACCCUCAGGCGACAGAUUUUAUGUUGAGAGUUAAGGACUGCAUUCAUAAAACAACCCUGGCUGUGGAUACAUCUAGGGAGAAAGGAUAACGUCGGAUUCAGCUUCCCUAAAGCACCUCCCAAACCAAGUCCAGCCAUUUUUGUUGUUUCAGCUGCUACCAGAGAUUGUGGCUGAACAAAGCAUGGGAGCCUCUGGGUUAAGGCUUCUGCAGCAAGGUCUGGCCAUCCAUUGCUAGGGUUCAAUUUGCUGCUUCACUGAUCACAUCCCCUUAUGUUCCCUCCCAAAUACCUCCGGGACAAACAAGUUUUCCCUCAACCUGCCAGGAGAGAGCCGUGGUGAUUCACAGCACUGACAUCUGUGGCCAAAAGCAUAACUACAGGCAGCUGGAGGGGAUGGGGGAGGUUCUGCCAUGCUGUGCAGGGUGAGGGAUCCCACCUGGGCUCAUCAAGGCUGAGGGCUCAGGUGUUUGCAGUGAACUCUGGUGGUAAGGUAGAACAAAGGAAGUGAUGGUGUAACUCUCUCUUCACAUGGAAGACAAAGCUUAGGAUAUUUUUCUUGCUAAGAGAAACCUUUGAAUACGCUUAAAAUCUUGCUGUCCCUGGGCCUUAUUAGCACUCGGAGGAGGCGGCGUGGGUUGGAUGGCGGUGGCGUGUGCUGUCCUGCUGCACACAGAAUUGUGCCUUGUGAAGGAGACGUCAGAGCUGACCUUGGCAUACACCUGCUGGAUGUCCAGGCAGUGCUGUAGCAUGAAGAAAUCCAAACUCACGUCCUCCUGUUGCAAUGUAAUCUGCUGGGGGAAACCACGUGGAUGUUUUGAAAGAGCGGGGGUUUCUUCACAGCUCAGACCGAUUAGCGUGGCUGAAAUGGGACUCGAAUCACAGAGCAACUGCCCUGUGUUGCCACACGGAUGUGAUGAAAAAUGACCCACAGUUCAUCAGAAACACAGCUCAGCCUUUAACACGUUGGGCUAAUGCCUUGGGAUGCUGAAGAAAACAUCUCAGAGAUGAGGGGAGAGGGAAGGAAAUUAAAUAUAGAAAAUAGCCAGCGUAGCAGCUGCAGAGCUUGUGACGGGCUUCCAGGUUGAAAAAAGGAGUCCUGGACAGUUUUUUGCAGCUGCAGUGUUGUGACCUUGGAGUUGCAAUGACCUGGGCACGCAUCUUAGCCUCUUAUCCGAGGCUUUAUCUGAGGAAAGAAACAGGCAGUGCUUACUCACGUUCAUGUUUCUGGGCUGCCACCCAGGCUGGGAGGGCUGCGUCUCAGCAUGGUCAGCAGGCUUGGCAAGGAAGCACCGUUGACUCUUUAAUCUUCCACUGGGGGAAUGAAUCCUGCCGGGUUCACAUUUUAAGCUCUGUGGGACCAGAGGGGACUGGACUGCUUUGCUUUGCACCCAGCAAUCACCACUUCAGCCUGUGCAAUAUUUGCCUUUUCUGCUGGAUUGUGUGACUCUCAAAGCAUCACCAUGGUAGACAGUUAAACGAUAUUUAAACUACCUUAGGAUUCGGAUGACUGCAAAACCCGAAACCUCUGUGGGCUCCCAUAUGCCUCGCUGCGUUCGCAGCACACAGCCGGCAAUCUGUGCAACAGCCCAUCGCCGAUGGGAACACAAACAAGGGCUGUCAGAAAAUUUCUGUUCAAAGAUGUACUUCAUUUUCAAGAAAGCCCACUCCUUCCUGGCCACCUGUACUGAGUCUUCUUCAGCUCCAUCUUUGUGCAGCACAGUGUUGCAGCCUGGCCUGAUGCAGCAGUUGAAGCGAGUAAUGAAGGCGUCAUGUUUGAAGGGCUGAAGAAAGUGUGUUGGUGUUUCCCAUAAGCUGAGGUCCCGCUGUUCAUGAUGUACAGUCGCUGCAAGUUCCGACUGGAAGAUGCCUACGACAGAAGGUGGCCUUAAGGUAGGAAGGAGGAACAGAGGACCUGCUUACCAAUAAAGCUGGACUGCGAUAAAGGAAGUGAUUUAGAGAAGUGAUUGUCCCUCUGUACUCAGCACUGGUGAGACCGCACCUUGAGUACUAUGUUCAGUACUCGUUGUGGGCACCCUGCUACAAGGAAGAUACUGGUUUGCUGGGAAGCAUUUGAGAAGAGCAGUGAAACUGGAGAAGGGACUGGAGAACAAGACAUACAAGGAACGGCUGCUGGAACUGGGGCUGCUGGGUCUGAAGAGGAGGCUGAGGGGAGACUUCAUCGCUCUCUACAACCACCUGAACAGGAGGUUACAGCAAGGCUGAAGAUGGAUCAGGCCAGUGUUUCCCUGCUCAUCAGCCUCCUGCACGAGCUGGCAGAGGUUUCCCAAACGCGAUUCGGCAAGGAGAGGUACCAGAGAGGGAUGGGAUACAGCUGAGUAAAGCUGCAGACUCUGGUCCUCGUCGUGGUAUAGGAGCACGUGAAGACAAAAGCCCAGAAAGAGCAUUUGGUUCAGCAAAGCCCCAAAUCUCCCUGACUUUGUUCACCCCCUGGAAUUACAUAUGCACAACUUGGCCCCCGUGUGUUUCGUGCAGGGUAACUGGAGCUGGCUAUCCAGGCUGAAGGUUAAGAAGACUGAAAGUGGUGGAUUUGUAUCAAAACCAGCUCAAUUUCCCUACCUGGAAGCGGGACAACAGUGAAAUCAGAAAUUACAGGCUUACUGCCUUCAUAUCUGCAGAUGUAGCUCUACAAUCAGUGCGAGCUGUUCCAGCAUUAGCAGGUAGCAGCGUUCACCACAGGUGCUCCACGUCUCCUCCAUGCCCUAACCAAAGACUUGUUUACAGACAGGGAAAUGGAGCCAACGGGUGAUGAUCCAAGUGCCACAAACCGCUGGCAGGCCAUCCAGAGCCCCCGAUUAGACCCAGCAGACCUAGUAACUUCUGCAGCUAUUACAAGCAGGAAGAAAGGGCAGGAGUGCUCGUAGGGGCCUAAUUGGAAACAGGCGAGUCACUGGGAACCUUGCUGUCCCUUCAGCAGGGCUUUACACGAUGACUGCAAACAGUCAGGGCCCAACUUCUGUACGGUGUAGUGCUGCGAGGAAGGACUGAGGCAUGAAGCUCGGGAAUCAAAAAUCCUUCUUCCCCUGUCUGCAUCUGCCUGACAAAAGGAAAAAGAAAGGGCAGCUGAUUUGUGAAUGCUGUCUUGCUAGAACUGUGGAUUUGAAAUCUCUGUCCUUGAUUAAAGAGGAGAAUGCAAUUGCACAUGUCAUUAAUUAUUACUGAUAAACCAAAGUAGUGGAGUCAAAUAAAAAUAUCCUGCCCUAUGAUCAGAUUCUGGCAAAGAGAAAGACCCAGGAGCCUCCAGCCUAUUAGCAUUUCCCUUUUUUUUGUGAAAUAUGUGUCUGAAUCGCUAGGUCUCCAAACCUUGCGUGUACUUAGCGUGCGUGAUGCCUAUAGGUGCAGAUCAAAAGAGAUGAACUUUAGCUACACAGACAGCAAAAAGCAGCUUACAGUUCCUGUAACAUGUGACCAGUCCCAAUUAUGGCUUCUUCCACAUGACAUCAGUAUGCGAUGGAGGAUCUCACUUUUUUUUUCUUGCCAGAGGCAAAUGAAUACAUUAUCCAGCAGUGAGGCGUGGGGCAAGCGGAUGCGUAACUCUGGGGUGAUUUGGAUUCCGCGCUCGCGCGGGGGUGUGAGCCAACCUCAGAAGUCAUUUUCACUGAUGCUGACACAUAAGGCAUCCCUCAGAGACCUGUCUAUCAAACUGCAACAUGCUAUGCAGAAAAAUUAGAUUACUCAUGCUACAAUAAAGAAGAGAAGAUGACAAUGAUGAAAAAAAAAAAGACUUCAAAAUAUAACAGCUAUUUAUGAAAUGAAUAAAAAUCCUAACAAUGGGAAAGUA